GACGAACGCUGGCGGCGUGCUUAACACAUGCAAGUCGAACGGAAAGGCCCUGCUUUUGUGGGGUGCUCGAGUGGCGAACGGGUGAGUAACACGUGAGUAACCUGCCCUUGACUUUGGGAUAACUUCAGGAAACUGGGGCUAAUACCGGAUAGGAGCUCCUGCUGCAUGGUGGGGGUUGGAAAGUUUCGGCGGUUGGGGAUGGACUCGCGGCUUAUCAGCUUGUUGGUGGGGUAGUGGCUUACCAAGGCUUUGACGGGUAGCCGGCCUGAGAGGGUGACCGGCCACAUUGGGACUGAGAUACGGCCCAGACGCCUACGGGAGGCAGCAGGGGGGAAUAUUGCACAAUGGGCGGAAGCCUGAUGCAGCAACGCCGCGUGCGGGAUGACGGCCUUCGGGUUGUAAACCGCUUUCGCCUGUGACGAAGCGUGAGUGACGGUAAUGGGUAAAGAAGCACCGGCUAACUACGU
rnacentral:rRNA from 1 species